GAUGAACGCUAGCUACAGGCUUAACACAUGCAAGUCGAGGGACCGGCGCACGGGUGAGUAACACGUAUCCCACCUGCCCUUUACUCGGGGAUAGCCUUUCGAAAGAAAGAUUAAUACCCGAUAGAAAGGAUGGGGAUGCGUUCCAUUAGGUUGUUGGUGAGGUAACGGCCCACCAAGACCUCGAUGGAUAGGGGUUCGGAGAGGAAGGUCCCCCACAUUGGAACUGAGACCCGGUCCAAACUCGUACGGGAGGCAGCAGUGAGGAAUACUGGUCAAUGGGCGCUAGCCUGAACCAGCCGAGUAGCGGGAAGGAUGAAGGCUUAUGGGUCGUAAACUUCUUUUAUAUAAGAAGAUGUAUUAUAUGAAUAAGGAUCGGCUAACUCCGUGCCAGCCGCCGCGGUAAUUC
rnacentral:rRNA from 1 species